rnacentral:rRNA from 1 species
GUCAAAUAACCCAAGGCUGACGGUGGAGACCUAGGCACCCAGAGACGAAGAAGGGCGCAGAAACCGGCGAGACGCUUCGGUGAGCUGGCAACAAGCAUUGAUCCGGAGAUUCCCUAAUAGGGCAACCUCAAGAACUGCCUCAUGUUUUCAAAGUGAGGUAAGAGAUAACCCGGUGAAUUGAAACAUCUUAGUAGCCGGAGGAAAAGAAAGCAAAAGCGAUUCCCCUAGUAGCGGCGAGCGAAUAGGGAACAGCCUAAACCGAUGAUUCGGGGUAGUGGGAGGACAUUAUUUUCUGAUUUUUUUUGUUUUUACUUUUGGUUUUUUUUUAUUAAAAAAAAAGAAAGUAAAAGUAAUGAAAAAACAAGAAAUAAAGAAUAAAAAAUUUAAAAAUUUAGACGAAGCAGUUGAAUGCUGUACCAUAGAUGGUGAAAGUCCAGUCGUCAAAAGAUUAAAAAAAGUCUUCUCCCAAGUAGCAUGGGGCACGUGGAAUCCCGUGUGAAUCUGCGAGGACCACCUCGUAAGGCUAAAAACUCCUGGGUGACCGAUAGCGAAAUAGUACCGCGAGGGAAAGUUGAAAAGAACCCCCGACGGGGAGUGAAAUAGAACAUGAAACCGUCAGCUAACAAGCAGUAGGAGGUGUUUUAUUUUUUUAAAAUAAAAAAGGAACUGACUGCGUGCCUGUUGAAGAAUGAGCCGGCGACUUAUAGGAAGUGGCUGGGUUAAAGAGUUGAAUCUGGAGCCCAAGCGAAAGCGAGUCUGAAUAGGGCUAAAAAUUAAGUCACUUCUUAUGGACCCGAACCCGGGUGAUCUCACCAUGACCAGGAUGAAACUUGGGUCACACUAAGAGGAGGUCCGAACCGACCGAUGUUGAAAAAUCGGCGGAUGAGUUGUGGUGAGCGGAGAAAUUCCAAUCGAACUCGGAGCUAGCUGGUUCUCCCCGAAAUGCGUUGAGGCGCAGCGGCCACGAAAAAAGAGCUGUCUAGUGGUAAAGCACUGUUUAGACGCGGGCUGCGAAAGCGGUACCAAGUCUUGGCAAACUCAGAAUACUAGGCAUAGCUUUCCGUGAGCCAGUGAGACGGUGGGGGAUAAGCUUCAUCGUCAAGAGGGAAACAGCCCAGAUCACCAGCUAAGGUCCCAAAAUGGCCGCUAAGUGGAAAAGGAUGUGAGAAUGCGGAAACAACCAGGAGGUUUGCUUAGAAGCAGCAACUCCUUUAAAGAGUGCGUAAUAGCUCACUGGUCAAGCGUUGUUGCGCCGAUAAUGCCCGGGACUAAGCGGCCUGCCGAAGCUGUGAGAUUAUAAAAAUCGGUAGGGGAGCGUUCUGCUUAGGGUGAAGCUUCUAUGUCAGUAGAGGUGGACAAAGCAGAAGUGAGAAUGUCGGCUUGAGUAACGAAAACAUUGGUGAGAAUCCAAUGCCCCGAAAACCUAAGGGUUCCUCUACAAGGCUCGUCCGUGGGGGGUGAGUCAGGACCUAAGGCGAGGCCGAGAGGCGUAGUCGAUGGAAAACAGGUUAAAAUUCCUGUACUGAUUUUUUUGGGAACCGAGUGACGAAGGAGGCUAAGCUGGAUCUGUUUAUGGAUAGUAGUGGAAACGUUCGAGGCUAUGAUAGAUAGAACAAAAAUUAUUUAGAGCGUAGGACGUGAUCCCGUUUUUCUUUCUUUUGAAAGAAAACCGCCAGUUACGUCAAACUUCCAAGAAAAACUUGAACUCUUUUUAAACUUUUUUAGUUUAAAAAACAAAAAAAUCACCUGUACCUGAAACCGACACAGGUAGGUAGGUAGAGAAAACCAAGGGGCGCGAGAGAACUCUCUCUAAGGAACUCGGCAAACUGGCCCCGUCACUUCGGGAGAAGGGGCGCCCUCUUAAUAAAGGGUCGCAGUGACCAGGCUCAGGCGACUGUUUACCAAAAACAUAGGUCUCCGAAAAGUCGUAAGACAAUUUAUGGGGGCUGACGCCUGCCCAGUGCCGGAAGGUGAAGGAAGUUGGUUAUUCUGUUAUUCAGAAAAAGCUGACAACCGAAGCCCCGGUGAACGGCGGCUGUAACUAUAACGGUCCUAAGGUAGCGAAAUUCAUUGUCGAGUAAGUUUCGACCUGCACGAAAGGCGUAACGAUCUGGGCGCUGUCUCGGAGAGAGACUCGGUGAAAUAGACUUGUCCGUGAAGAUGCGGACUUCCGAAACCUGGACAGAAAGACCCUAUGAAGCUUGACUGUAUCCUGGAAUUGGGUUCGGGCUUUUUUUGCGCAGCCUAGGUGGGAGGCUUUGAAGGUUCUCUGCAGGGAGAGCUGGAGCCAUCAUUGAGAGACCACUCUGAAAGAGCUAGAAUCCUCAUGGCGAUCUUUGAAUCAGGACGCUUGACAGUUUCAGGUGGACAGUUUAUCUGGGGCGGAUGCCUUCUAAAAGGUAACGAAGGCGUGCAAAGGUUCCCUCAGUCUGGACGGAAAUCAGACGCGGAGUGUAAAGGCAGAAGGGAGCUUGACUGCAAGACCUACAAGUCGAGCAGGGGCGAAAGCCGGCCUUAGUGAUCCGACGGUGCCGCGUGGAAGGGCCGUCGCUCAACGGAUAAAAGUUACUCUAGGGAAACAGGCUGAUCUUCCCCAAGAGUUCACAUCGACGGGAAGGUUUGGCACCUCGAUGUCGGCUCUUUGCAUCCUGGGGCGGUAGUACGUCCCAAGGGUUGGGCUGUUCGCCCAUGAAAGCAGUACGUGAGCUGGGUUCAGAACGUCGUGAGACAGUUCGGUCCAUAUCCGGUUUCGGCGUUAGAGCAUUGAGGGGAUCCUUCAUUAGUACGAGAGGACCUUGAAGGACGCACCUCUAGUCUACCAGUUCUUCUUCCAAGGGGAAACGCUGGGUAGCUACGUGCGGAGAAGAUAACCGCUGAAAGCAUCUAAGUGGGAAGCUCACCUCAAGAUGAGUGCUCUCCAUCAGGCCACGGUUAGACCAACCGAUUGAUAGGUGUUAAGUGUAAGAUCCGUAAUGAUCUGAGCUAAGACAAACUAAAGGCCGAUUGAUUUUGAC